rnacentral:rRNA from 1 species
ACUCAACGCCGGGCAGCUCACCGGAUAGGACAGCGGAAUGAUAGCCGGGCUGAAGACCUUGCUUGACCAGCUGAGAGGAGGUGCAUGGCCGUCGUCAGUUCGUACUGUGAAGCAUCCUGUUUAGUCAGGCAACGAGCGAGACCCACGCCAACAGUUGCUAGCAUGUUCUCCGGAAUGAUGAGGACACUGUUGGGACCGCCUCUGCUAAAGAGGAGGAAGGAAUGGGCAACGGUAGGUCAGCAUGCCCCGAAUUAUCCGGGCUACACGCGGGCUACAAUGGUCAGGACAAUGGGAAACGGCACUGAAAAGUGUAGUCAAUCUCCUAAACCUGUCCCAAGUUCGGAUUGUGGGCUGCAACUCGCCCACAUGAAGCUGGAAUCCGUAGUAAUCGCGUUUCAAAAUAGCGCGGUGAAUAAGUCCCUGCUCCUUGCACACACCGCCCGUCAAACCAUCUUAGUGAGGUUUGGAUGAGGCUGUGGUUAACUGCCACAGUCGAAUCUAGGUUUCGCAAGGAGGGUUAAGUCGUAACAAGGUAGCCGUA